rnacentral:rRNA from 1 species
AAGGAAUAUUGGUCAAUGGACGCAAGUCUGAACCAGCCAUGCCGCGUGAAGGAUGAAGGUCCUCUGGAUUGUAAACUUCUUUUAUCUGGGACGAAAACGGGAUUUUUAUCUCAAUUGACGGUACCAGAGGAAUAAGCACCGGCUAACUCCGUGCCAGCAGCCGCGGUAAUACGGAGGGUGCGAGCGUUAUCCGGAUUUACUGGGUUUAAAGGGUGCGUAGGUGGGCUUAUAAGUCAGUGGUGAAAUCUCCGAGCUUAACUUGGAAACUGCCGUUGAUACUAUAGGUCUUGAAUUAUCUGGAGGUAAGCGGAAUAUGUCAUGUAGCGGUGGAAUGCUUAGAUAUGACAUAGAACACCAAUUGCGAAGGCAGCUUACUACAUAUAAAUUGACGCUGAGGCACGAAAGCGUGGGGAUCAAACA